rnacentral:rRNA from 6 species
GUGAGCAACCUGCCCUGGACUCUGGGAUAAGCGCUGGAAACGGUGUCUAAUACUGGAUAUGAGCCUCUAUCGCAUGGUGGGGGUUGGAAAGAUUUUUCGGUCUGGGAUGGGCUCGCGGCCUAUCAGCUUGUUGGUGAGGUAAUGGCUCACCAAGGCGUCGACGGGUAGCCGGCCUGAGAGGGUGACCGGCCACACUGGGACUGAGACACGGCCCAGACUCCUACGGGAGGCAGCAGUGGGGAAUAUUGCACAAUGGGCGGAAGCCUGAUGCAGCAACGCCGCGUGAGGGAUGACGGCCUUCGGGUUGUAAACCUCUUUUAGCAGGGAAGAAGCGAAAGUGACGGUACCUGCAGAAAAAGCGCCGGCUAACUACGUGCCAGCAGCCGCGGUAAUACGUAGGGCGCAAGCGUUAUCC